UGCAAGUCGUACGCUUCUUUUUCCACCGGAGCUUGCUCCACCGGAAAAAGAAGAGUGGCGAACGGGUGAGUAACACGUGGGUAACCUGCCCAUCAGAAGGGGAUAACACUUGGAAACAGGUGCUAAUACCGUAUAACAAUCGAAACCGCAUGGUUUUGAUUUGAAAGGCGCUUUCGGGUGUCGCUGAUGGAUGGACCCGCGGUGCAUUAGCUAGUUGGUGAGGUAACGGCUCACCAAGGCCACGAUGCAUAGCCGACCUGAGAGGGUGAUCGGCCACAUUGGGACUGAGACACGGCCCAAACUCCUACGGGAGGCAGCAGUAGGGAAUCUUCGGCAAUGGACGAAAGUCUGACCGAGCAACGCCGCGUGAGUGAAGAAGGUUUUCGGAUCGUAAAACUCUGUUGUUAGAGAAGAACAAGGAUGAGAGUAACUGUUCAUCCCUUGACGGUAUCUAACCAGAAAGCCACGGCUAACUACGUGCCAGCAGCCGCGGUAAUACGUAGGUGGCAAGCGUUGUCCGGAUUUAUUGGGCGUAAAGCGAGCGCAGGCGGUUUCUUAAGUCUGAUGUGAAAGCCCCCGGCUCAACCGGGGAGGGUCAUUGGAAACUGGGAGACUUGAGUGCAGAAGAGGAGAGUGGAAUUCCAUGUGUAGCGGUGAAAUGCGUAGAUAUAUGGAGGAACACCAGUGGCGAAGGCGGCUCUCUGGUCUGUAACUGACGCUGAGGCUCGAAAGCGUGGGGAGCAAACAGGAUUAGAUACCCUGGUAGUCCACGCCGUAAACGAUGAGUGCUAAGUGUUGGAGGGUUUCCGCCCUUCAGUGCUGCAGCUAACGCAUUAAGCACUCCGCCUGGGGAGUACGACCGCAAGGUUGAAACUCAAAGGAAUUGACGGGGGCCCGCACAAGCGGUGGAGCAUGUGGUUUAAUUCGAAGCAACGCGAAGAACCUUACCAGGUCUUGACAUCCUUUGACCACUCUAGAGAUAGAGCUUCCCCUUCGGGGGCAAAGUGACAGGUGGUGCAUGGUUGUCGUCAGCUCGUGUCGUGAGAUGUUGGGUUAAGUCCCGCAACGAGCGCAACCCUUAUUGUUAGUUGCCAUCAUUUAGUUGGGCACUCUAGCAAGACUGCCGGUGACAAACCGGAGGAAGGUGGGGAUGACGUCAAAUCAUCAUGCCCCUUAUGACCUGGGCUACACACGUGCUACAAUGGGAAGUACAACGAGUCGCGAAGUCGCGAGGCUAAGCUAAUCUCUUAAAGCUUCUCUCAGUUCGGAUUGUAGGCUGCAACUCGCCUACAUGAAGCCGGAAUCGCUAGUAAUCGCGGAUCAGCACGCCGCGGUGAAUACGUUCCCGGGCCUUGUACACACCGCCCGUCACACCACGAGAGUUUGUAACACCCGAAGUCGGUGAGGUAACCUUUUGGAGCCAGCCGCC
rnacentral:rRNA from 1 species